rnacentral:rRNA from 1 species
UCUGUAGGUGGUUUAAUAAGUCAACUGUUAAAUCUUGAGGCUCAACCUCAAAAUCGCAGUCGAAACUAUUAGACUAGAGUAUAGUAGGGGUAAAGGGAAUUUCCAGUGGAGCGGUGAAAUGCGUAGAUAUUGGAAGGAACACCGAUGGCGAAGGCACUUUACUGGGCUAUUACUAACACUCAGAGACGAAAGCUAGGGUAGUAAAUG